AAUUUUUCCCACUAUGGUAUUUUAUUGUAAAUAAUAGAAUUAUUUAGAUCUACUGAUGGAGAUAUUUGUAUUGUUGGAGAUACCAGUUCCUCUCCAUCAUAUGGUAGAGUUGAUUUGUGUGUUAGUCAGACAUGGGGUACAAUUUGUGAUUCAUCAUUGACUGAUACUGAAGCUUCAGUUGUUUGUACACAACAAGGAUUCACUCCAUAUGAUGCAGUUGCUGUUUCUCUUGGUCAAAGCACUGUAUCAAUACCAACUAAUGUUGACUCUCUUAAUGUACUGUGAUCAAUUAUUUAAUUAACUAAUUGUAUUGUGAGCAGCAUUUUAUCAACAUACAUACUCAUUUUGGACAAACAUGGAUUAUUGAUGACCCCAGUAUAUAGUAUCUUCACAUACAGUCAGCCUGGUACAUGUAGCUGGAAUACUUUUUAUGAACCAGAAUACACUCCAUUGUUUGAUGCAAAGUUCAAUGCCCCAAAACUAAAAGAAAAAGCAUUAAAGUAUUGGAGAGGCUAAUAAAGAAACAGGAGGGGAUUUAGACAUUCUAGAAGAUAUAGAUCUACUUUAGCCAACUGUUUAUGAUCCUCAUGUGCCAAUUAUGGAGCAUGUGUUGGUAACAAUACUUCUGUUCUGAAGGAUAUUAAGGAAUAGUUUGCAAUCAAUCAGUACUUUAUGAAUGUGAAGAGAACAAUUGUGUGAAUGAAGGGACUUGUCAGUAGUUUAAUUGCUGGAGACACUGUAUACAAUUGCUUAGAUGGAUAUACAGGAAUUAAUUAUGAGGAUUUAAUUUCAAGCCCAACAUCAUAUCCUUCUGUAACACCAGUAGCACCAGCCUCAUUGUCUGAGAUUCUUGUAAUAGCUGUUGCUGUCAUCACUUUUAUUGUUGCAGUGAUAGUUUUCAUACUAGUGGCAAUAUUUUGUGUUCAAAGAAUGAAAAGCGAUCUAAAGACUCCUCCUCAGUCCCCACCAACAAAACCUUUGCCUUUAUAUGAUGAUCCUGAAAAAGAGCCUGAAGCAUAUGAAAUGGAUUGGCGUUCUAAAGGACAACAACAUGAAAAUUAAUUACUGCUAGUAUAAAAUAAUAUUUUUGCUGCAAAAGAAUCCUUAUGUCUUGUAUCUAAGUUAUUUUUUA